rnacentral:rRNA from 1 species
CCUACGGGUGGCAGCAGUGGGGGAUAUUGCACAAUGGAGGGAACUCUGAUGCAGCGACGCCGCGUGAGGGAAGAAGGUUUUCGGAUUGUAAACCUCUGUCUUCGGUGACGAAACGAAACGAUAGCCGAGGAGGAAGCCACGGCUAACUCCGUCCCAGCAGCCGCGGUAAUACGUAGGUGGCAAGCGUUGUCCGGAAUUACUGGGGGAAAGGGGAGCGUAGGGGGGAAGGCAAGCUGAAUGUAUAAGGGACGGGCUAAACCUGUACAAGCGUUGGAAACUGUGUGUCUUGAGUGGAGUAGAGGUAAGCGGAAUUCCUAGUGUAGCGGUGAAAUGCGUAAAUAUUAGGAGGAACACCAGUGGCGAAGGCGGCUUACUGGGCUUUAACUGACGCUGAGGCUCGAAAGCGUGGGUAGCAAACAGGAUUAGAUACCCCGGUAGUC